AAAAAGACAAACCAUGAGUUUCCGUGUGCAACGUUUGAAUGUCCGUCUUAUAUGAAAUUUUUUUAUAAUUAGUAUUUUCAUUGUUGUUAGACGAUAAAACAUGAUUAAUACUUUAUGCGUGACUUAUCUUUUAAAUUUUUUUAUAAUUAUUUUAAAUAAAACAGACGAUCAAAUGUUGGACACGGAAACUAGGGUUAGCUUUUU
rfam:Oryza nivara chromosome 2, whole genome shotgun sequence.